UUUCUUCCUGGAGAAGAGUCUUUCAGUACCAGCUGCAGUCCUACAGGUGGUAAAUCUUCUCUAUUUUCAGAGCAUCCCUGGGAAGAACCCUGGAGUGAAGGAGGAGAAGCACAGGGGGUGGUGUGGCGCUGAACAGAGCCUGGAAAUGCUAUAUCUCUCAAAAUGCUGCACUCCAGGGAGCCCUGAAAGCUGCUGCAACCUAUCUCAGAAAAUGCUAUGUCAGAAAGAAAAAUAGAUUUUUUUCCUAAACUUCCUUGAAUUCUAAAGACAACAUUUAAGGCAAUCCUAAGAAGUAGCCACAGAAUGUGACUUUUUUCCCUUUUUUUUUUUUUUUUUUUUUAAGUGCUUGUCUGAAAAUACUGCCUGAUAUGCCUGGAGAGAACCUUGGAGUACCAAAGGAAAUACUUGUGUCAUUGGCUUACUAAAUGAAUAGUAACUCUAUGGAUGUCAGAAUGAUUCAGGUGAUCACCAUUUAUAUCUUCCUCUUACUUCAUUUAGGUUUGCUCACUUUGCCCACAGGAGAUGGUGAAUAAGCCCCCUUCCAUCAUACUUGCUCUCCAGACAGACACCCAGGAGUCACCCGCAUCACCAGAUUCUGCAGAGGGCAGCAUUAAGAGCCAGGGUGAUACAUCAUUUUUUCCUGUCCAAUGCUGCUCUCUGUUGAAUGAAGUUGUAGGCGGCACAUCACGUUUGCAGUAUAUAUUGAUUUACGAUUUCAAAGUGCUGAACAAACAACUCAUUCUUCCAAGCAGACCACAGAUAAUGACUCAUUAGCUCCAAUUUAAUAUGCAGGAAAAGUGGGAGGACAAUGGUUGCACAAUUAAUCUGCUAGGCCACAGGGCAUUAAGGAUGCCAUGCUCAUCUGCUCCGCCAAUGGAGCUGCAUUAGCUCCACUGCUUGAAGCACCCAAGUGGAGGAGAAGAAAGAACCCCUUCAGCUCCUCUGUGCUGCUGCAUUCUGGGGUUUGACACCUCCUGUGCACAUUUUUUGUCCUGUUAGUCGAUGCACUGGCAUUGAACUCCACAUCUGGCUUGUGCUUUUUCUACAGCAGCUGAAAUGCAGUUUCUUGUCUUCCCAGGGAAAGGAUGCAUUGCAAGGAAAUGCUCAGUUGGAUUGUUUUCGCUUCCUUCUUUCUUUGACAGUUUUGUCUUUCCAUGGGCUGCCCUUCUGUCAGAUGUGUCUCCUUUCUGCUGGAGAACUUGGUGUCAAAUCAAACUGUACUGGGACAAAAAUAAGCCAAUUGAGUGAGUAAACAGUUGCCUGGAAAGACCAGGUACCAUCAAACAAAUAUGUUUAAAAUUGACACAAGAUGCUGUUUUCCUGCUCUGAUAGACUCAUACCCAUGCUUUAAUUGUAUCCAAACAACCAUCUGCUAUGAAAAGCAGUGCACUUGCUUUGCUGAUGUAAUCCUUAUCGGAGACUGGGAAAGCCUUGUUCUGCUUUGGGAAGCCAAGAUGCUAGGAACAUUUAUUUCAUUCAUAGUAAUGCACUUCUAAAACAUACCUUUAGGCAAACAUUUGUGCAUUUUAGUACAAAUAUUCAUCGAGGACACAUAUUCUUGGUUGUUUGCCCACAUAGAUAUGAAUAGCAUUUGAUACAUACUCAUUCUUAGUAACUCUCAAGGUUUUCUGCCUUUUCCCUUUGUCACUGAUGAAAGCAGAUAUUUGUCAGUAAAUAUUGUGUUUGGGCACACCAACAUUUCAAGAUACUGCCUGAAAAUGUGUGUUGAAGGUGUAAAGAAUUGAGGAGAAACAAGAGAAAGAAAAAUGAAAGAAGCCUUUCCUCGAUGAAUAAAAUGGGUUUUUCUGUUUUUGUAACUCAAAACAUGCGUAGGUGAAUGAAUUCUACACAAAUUCAGCUUCAGGCAGAGCCUGGGAAAAGGUGGUGAAAGUACUGGAAAAGUGUGCUCUGUAAUGAAGUCUCCUAGAUUUUAACAUUGGUGAAUUUGCAUAUAAUUAAAAGGUAAUGGAACAUGAUAUUUCCUUUAGUUCCCAUCUAAGCUAAAACAGUAGAAAGUGUAAUUUAUUAAAAAGAGCAUAAGCAGCAUUUUCCCUUCCUUUAAUCAGACCUAUGACAAUCAGAAAAAUCAAAAGUAAAUCUAAACCACAUGUGUAUAAUUCAAAACAUAAACAGAUUCUUUAGCUUAUAUACAUACUGUGAGAAAAUAGUUGGGUAAAUAGCAUCAUUGUGCUCCUGGGAAACAAUGGCAGAGACAUUGUAUGGCUGAAUUUUCAGAGACUGAAAUUUCUUUACAGAGCAACCUAUAAAAAUUUAUUGUCUAAAUCUUGCUGUAAAAUCUAUCAUGUUAUGGGCAUUUUGAUCAUACUGAAUUAAUCCUUCUCUCUCUUCUCUCUCUCUCUCUUUUUUUUUUUAAUGGGUACUUCAACAGUCAUGGGAAGGAAGUAUACUAAAAAAGCAGGUUUUACGUUUCCAAAAGUUCAUGACAUUCUUAGGUUAAUUAUUUAAGUGUCAUUAGAGUUUAGAAAUUUAUAAUUGAGACUCAGAUUGUGAAUUUUGGCAAAUAUGAUACCACCAGAGUUCUAGACUGAAAUGCAGUGUGCGAAGUAGGCUUUGCUACUUAAAGUAACUGAAGAAAAACUUGUCCUCUUCACCAGAAAAAUAAGAGUUUUGACAAGGAAAGCAAAACUUUCUCUGAAUAGCUUAUUGAACUUUUCUGGAGGUCCUCCUGAAUUCAUAUUGCUGUUGACACUGAAGCAUUUCAUGGUUGGUCAGUAUUUCCAGUCUUUACCUAACAGCUCAAUGUCUAUUCCUAGGAAGAGUACCUAUGUUAUGAUCAUAAAGGAGCAGGUAAAAAACCUAUCAAAUGUGACUGAAAUCAGAUCAACAAUAAUGAAAAAUAAAAGAUAGUGUUUCUUAGCAGUAAUUUUCAGAUUACUGAAAGCUUUUUCCCCAAAAAUUCAGUGUCUCAGAUCAGAAAAAUCUUAAGAGCUGCAAAAUUAAAGCAAAGAGUGAUUUUUAUUUCUUGGAGUAAUUGAACCCAUUAGAUAUAUUACAAAAAAGUAUACUGAAAUUUCUGGUCCUGUUUUUGAGAUAGAAGAAACACAAACACAUACCUAAUAAAAAGUAUUCAGAAAGCCUUAUUGAACUAUGAAAGAAAUGUUGAAUUUCGUCUUUCACUGAGGAUAUAAGUUCAUUUUUAACCAGUAACUACUGCAAUGUAGAAACUGAUUAUACUGCUGGUGAAGACAGUAAAGACUUGACACACAAAGGAAAUAAAGCACAGGUAGGUCUAUUGUUCUCACCCUGACUAAUUGCAUGCUUAAAAUUAGACAUUCAUUAAAAAGCACUUAAUUGAAGUACAGAGGGAAGAGAAUUAGUUCCUAAAAAAUUGUCAUUAUUCAUUGCUGUGCGUAUAAGGAAAGCUUUUUUCCUGGCUCUGCAUCCUGCGUGGUAGGUCAGAGAAGAUGAACUCUUAUUUUGAGCACAGCGGCUUCAGCUCAUGGAAGCUUACUAUAUGGCAGCAGCAUUCAUUUCAUAGUAAAUUAAUAUAACUCCCAUAAAAAAAAACUAUAUGUCAGGGACCAGAACUCCUAGGAAACCUCAUACAGAGACUGAAUAAGUUCUCUAUAUUCUUUUUUAUUUCCUUUGUGUGUAGCUAAAAGAAAUACAAUGAAAUUAAUGUAAAACUCAAGAAACUCCAUGUUGUACACAAUCAAACACUGAUGGAGGCUGAGUUGCUGACAUGCAAGGUCAUAGCAGCUGCGCUAAGUCUUGGCUUAUCCCCAAGAUUGCCCUGACAUUCCUGGUGUUACUUAUAAUUUUGGAAGUUAAGAACAGAUUUAUUUACUUAAUAGGAGGCUCAAUCUAUUGGUCUAGAGCUACCUUACUGGAAAAGCUGGUGUAUAUCAAAGGCUCAUGUUUAUGAAAAUAUAAGGCAAGCAAAAUAAAUCAGAAAGAAAACUCACUGAGAACUUUGAGAGGUACCGGUAAAGAACAACAUACUUCUUUUGGCUAGAUAUUCAUUGUAGAUUUAGAUGAAGAACAUGAUUUCGUCCAACAUUUUUGUGGUUAAUUUGCCUCCAGGUUGUUUAUACGAAGUAAAUAGCUGGAAUUGGAAAUUUGAUUCUUUGCUUACCGGUAAUAUCUCUAAUCUGAAAAGCAUUUCACGAGUUUAACUCAGAACCUCAUUUAUGUGCAUCUAGGUUUAUUGUUCCUAUUGUUCCUAGGUUAGGAACAAUUAACUUCAUAAUUUUCUCCUGGUUCUGGUCACACAUUGCCGUAUGUCUUUUUCACACAAAUGUAAAGGAAAAAAGAAAAAGGGGUUAUAAAAUAUCAUUACCCAAACACUUGUUUUUCUUCAGCUUUUUGGAACAGUUGUAUUACCUAGAAGAGUUUACUGCACAAACUCUUUGGAUUGAAUUUAGUC
rnacentral:lncRNA from 7 species